AGAAUAAAACUUCUUGUAAACGACUCAUUGUCCAAAAGUACCAAUAAUUACGAAAACUUUUACCAUGUGCUUCACAGCUUUGAAUAUGUUCGGUUCAUCACCCAUUUGACCAUUACCAUCUUCGUUUGACUAGAAAAAUUUGAUUUAAAAAUCGGAAAAAACAUUAUAAAUAAAAAAAAACUCACAGUAUUCAA